rnacentral:lncRNA from 1 species
ACUGAAUCCACAGUGCAGCUGAGCUAAACUGCCACCAUGAAAGCUGUCCUCACUGCACUCACUCUGCUGCUGAUGCUGUGCAGCCACCUGGCGUUAGGAAAAGCCUUACCUGGGCAGGUAUCGGGCUCCAGUGACCUGGGGGAAGACGCAGAUUCACCCGGCCAGGUAUCAGGCUCCAGUGACCUGGCGGAAGAAAUUGCCACAUCUGAGCAGGUGUCAGACUCCAGUGACCUGAAGGACAAAACAGCCUCACCUGGGCAGGUAUCAGGCUCCAGCAAAGCUGCACAGGAAUGCCUGAAGCAGAAAGGCAUUGAGAAGAUCCUGAGAGAACUAAAUAAGAUGACUGAAAACAUCAAGGCUUCCUUACCUAAGGACAACAACAAACACCAGCGACUCCUGCCAAAGUUUACAAAGUCUGUAAAGGGCGUCGCUGUCAUGAAGGAGAUCCUGGACUUCUACUCCGAGGAUGUGUUCAGUAGAGUUUCACUGAAGGAUCAGAAGACGGAGCACAUACUGGAUGUUCUCGCAAGGCUCAGAAGAGACAUGGAUCACUGUCUGUACACGUACCCAAGCUCCUUGUCCCAAAAUGAAAGAUACCCAAUCUGGAAAAUGAAAAAGACUUUUCAUGAGCUGAGGGCUGCUGGUGUGCACAAGGCGGUGGGGGAGUUUAAGACUGUGCUGAACUGGGUUGACACCUACAUCCAUCAGCGGACGAUGAAGGGACACCCUGGAGGAGGACGCCUGUAGAAGACCACUAGCCUGAAGACAAAGGGAACCCAAAGCCCAAGAACACAUCUGAGAUUCUGUAAUCAGCCUCAUUGUAUCACUAAUCACUCUUUACGGUUAAAAACAUUAAAAAAAUAAAUCACAGUCAGGGUACUGUUAAGGUAUUUGU